CUACGGGACGCUGCAGUGGGGAAUAUUGGACAAUGGGCGCAAGCCUGAUCCAGCAAUGCCGCGUGAGUGAAGACGGCCUUAGGGUUGUAAAGCUCUUUCAGUCGUGACGAUGAUGACGGUAACGACAGAAGAAGCCCCGGCUAACUCCGUGCCAGCAGCCGCGGUAAUAGCGGAGGGGGCUAGCGUUGUUCGGAAUUACUGGGCGUAAAGCGCACGUAGGCGGCGUAUCAAGUCAGAGGUGAAAGGCCCGGGCUCAACCUGGGAACUGCCUUUGAUACUGGUAUGCUUGAGUCCGGAAGAGGGUAGUGGAAUUUCCAGUGUAGAGGUGAAAUUCGUAGAUAUUGGAAAGAACACCAGUGGCGAAGGCGGCUACCUGGUCCGGUACUGACGCUGAGGUGCGAAAGCGUGGGGAGCAAACAGGAUUAGAUACCCGAGUAGUC
rnacentral:rRNA from 1 species